rnacentral:rRNA from 1 species
GCGUAGGAACUACCCAGUAGUGGGGGACAACAGUUGGAAACGACUGCUAAUACCGCAUACGCUCUACGGAGGAAAGGGGGCGUUCGGCUCUCGCUAUUGGAUGUUGCCGUGCGUGGAGAUUAGCUAGUUGGUGGGGUAAAGGCCUACCAAGGCAACGAUCUCUAGCCUGGUCUGAGAGGAUGAUCAGCCGCACUGGGACUGAGACACGGCCCAGACUCCUACGGGAGGCAGCAGUGGGGAAUAUUGGACAAUGGGCGCAAGCCUGAUCCAGCCAUGCCGCGUGUGUGAAAGAAGGGCCUU